AGCUCGCUCGGGAGCCGGCUCCGUCCCCGCCCCGCUCCUCCCUUCCUCUCCUGGCCGCAGCAGGUGGUGCUACGCGGGGACUAUAUCUGAUGGAUCCAACAGAAGCCAAGCUAACAUAGGGCCAGUGCUGUACUGAGUGACUGUGCCAAUGGGG